rnacentral:lncRNA from 1 species
UAAGUCAGACGGAGAAAAAUAUUCGGGUCCCUCAAGCAGAAGCUCUAAAUGGAGUCUGUUUGUCACCAGGUUUUCUCAAUGAGUAAAUGGAGAGGCAAUACCUAGAGCUGUCACAGGCAUCCUGCAGCCUUGAGGAUGAAAUUCACAUGCCGAGCAUGAAGGAGCCUGAACAUGGGAGCCUGGAGCCCCAACGACAUUGUUGAGACAGUGUUCCAGUUCUCUGGCACCUUCCUCUCAACUUUGCCAGAAACCCUGCAAGCCCCUCAGGAGCCUAUUCUGCUCAUCUGAACACCUAACUGCCAACUUUCUGAAGCAGCCCAGCUUCCCAGAACUGAAGUCACCAAGCCAAGACGAAGAGAACGCUGGGACCUGGAGGGAGACGUAUCUUAAAAGAAAUAAGAAUGAAGCUCAAAAAUUCAUCUCAAACAUGAAAAAAUGAAAUAUUGCAGUUACAGUUUCUAAUGCAAAGAUUUUUUUAAAGGUGAAAAAACUGAGGGGCAGAGGAAAGUAGAGACAAAAAGAAAUGGGCAAAGACACACCCAGAGUGCCAGCCUUGACCGUGACUUAUAUGGAGUCACAGCCCUGAAGUUUGGCUUUUUAAGAUAUAAAGGUGUGGCUAGGUUUUCACAAACAUAAGCAGAAAUAUGGGCAAUACGUUUCCUGGGACCUGGUGACACUGAGGAUAAAAUUCAGGCCAGAACCAGAGGUCUCUUAGCCUUGGUGGAAAACAAGGGAGAUAAAUUAUUUAGGUAGAGGAACACUGAACUUCCAGAACUAAGCUACUGCCCCGGCUUCAGCGCCCUCUUGAGAGUGAUGAGCCCACAGAAUAAAAGUGGAAGAGAAAGCCUGGGAGAGAAAACCAAAGUUGAAUUCCUUUCACAGCACCAGAGAAUCACCUGGGAAGCUGGGGACCUGGGAGGCCAGGCCCCACCCCAAACCAACUCCCAGACAUCAGUGCUUAAGGCCUCGAGCCACAGUUCAGACACCCGGGUUGGGAGCUGGAUCUCCAAAGACUGAUCUAGGAAAGGAAGAUGCCCUGAAAUAACUGAAAUGAGAUGGGGGCUGGCCAAGCGCCAUUGCCUCCCAGAAAAGAGCCGGAGAACCACAGCCAGGAGGGACUCCAGACGACAGAACAACGCAGGGCGUGUGGUCAAGACGCUCUCUGGUUGCACCUCCGUGGGACUUGGCUGGACCUUUCAAUUAGAUGAAGUUUCCCUGGACUGGGAGAGGAGGCGAAGAGUCAGAGGGAAGCCAAAGAGCUACAAAUCUGGAAGGUGCUAAGAGGAGGUCUGAGCUACAGAAUGUAAGUAAUUUACUUUAUGUCAAAAGUGGACCAUACUGUACUUGCUCUUGUAUAUUGUACUCAGUAAUAUGGCAUGAACAACAUUAUAGGUCAAAAAAUAAUUCUUCUAAAAUAUGAUUUUUCAUUGCUAAUAGCAUUCCACCAUGUGAGCUAGUUUAAAGGUUUAGAAAACCUUCACAUUUCUCCUUCCAACCUGAGGCAUAAUCAGUCUCAAUUAUUUCAGUUUUUAAGUCUUGAUUAAAAGAACUUCUCCUUAUUGGAAAGACUCCUAGGCUAGGUGGACCCUAACAAACUAUUGUAGUCAAGAUCUGGGGACAAAUUCCUCUGUGGCUUAGCAGGUUAAGGACCCGGCGCUGUCACUGGUGAGGCUCUGGUCAUUGAUGUGGCGUAUGUUCGAUCUCUGGCCUGGGAACGUCCGUGUCUUGUGAGUGUGGCCACAAAGAAAAAAAAAGAAACCUAGUGACCAGAGUUGGCAAAAUCAAAUUAGCUUCUCUUUCUGAAAACUGUGUAAUGAAGCCAGUCAUAUUUCAUUCUAGUUGGCCAUUCUAGAGCAACACUGAUUCACUUCCUUACAAGGAGAGCUUUAGGGAGAGAGGACAGUAGUUUCAGGGAGCCUCCCUAAUGUGUGUCUUAAAUAAUAGCAGAAUCCAGCUGUCUGCCCAUCCUUAGCUCUGUGUUCAUGCAGCCUAUGACCAUGAGGGAGGGGUAUGCCUUUUGGCUGCAGGCUGGCUCUGGGCUUUCCUCAGCCUAUGAACAGAAAGUAAUAAAUGGGCCAACUCGGAAAGGCAUGGGGAAGACUGCUGUGUGCCUAUGAAGGGAGGACUCCUAACAUGGACAGAGAUACCAGUGUCCAAAGAGCCCUAAUCCCACCGUGGUACCUGCAGUGCCAUCAGCAGCCACUGAAAUUGAGCUUGGGAGUGGAGGUCUCAGAGUUUAUCAAAUAUCUUUCCUUGGGAUGCUGGUUUUAGUCACUUCCUAUUUCUUUUGAGAACUUCCAUUUGCCACAAAUCAAAGCUCCUCCAGUUGAGAACUAUGUUGGGAUUGGGAUUUUGCUGUGUGUGUGUGAGUUUGUGAAUCUGUGCCCUGUAGCUUUGAAAAGUACAGUACGUUUAGAUCAAACGGCAGCCUUUGGAUCAAUAUAAAUUUGGUCAAAACAGAUUCCUAUUUGUUUUUGUUAUUUUGUAUCUUUCAUUCUAAAAAAUCAAAGACAUUUAGAAUCUAUACAAUAACAUCACAAACAACUUUUAAAAUAACUUGUUCCCAUACUAGAAACAAAAUAUACAUUCCUAGUUUCUUUUCAUAAGAGAAAAUGAUGUCAUUUUUCCUCCAAGCAUUAGGAGCAAAAAAGAAUAUUUACAAUAUGAAUCUGGAGACUAAAUCAAUUAUAGGCAAAAAUGUUAUUUUUUCCCUGUUAUUUUAUUGUUUUAAUAAUGUGUUAUAUUCAGAACAUAUUAUUUUCAUUAGUUGAAAGGACAAAAUUAGAAUCAUAUGCAGGCUUUUCUUGGUAAUUCAUUUCAUUUCCUGUUUUCUAUCUUUUUGGUGACUUCUGUAGAAAGACUAUUUUAAAAGUUUCCCCUUUGAAAAUGGCCCAAGGAGCAAAGGAAACUUCUAUUUUAAUGCUCUGUGAGAUGGUGAGAGGAAUGCAUUUCACAAGGCCUAACUACCAUUCCAAAUGGUGACAGGACAAAAAGGAACUGAGUGAGAGAGGAGAGCAGGGACCAAGUCUUUGGGUUGGGGAACGAAGUUUAGCACUCAACUGCUUCAUAAAAAAUGGUGAUGAUGUGUUUUCCAUGUGUCAAAGGCUAGAAGGAGUGAUAGGAAGUCCAGUUGUCUUAACUGGGUCAGAAAAAUAACCUUGACUUCAGAAACUCCCAUGUGAUGAUACGUGUAACUUGUACACACCAGAAAAUAAAAAUGAUCAAACCCUUGGGGGCUCUCAAAAAUAAGAUAGUUCUUUCCCCAGCUUGAAAAAGAACACCUGAGCCAGCCAAAGAAACAGACUUCACCCCUCUGACCCUUCCCUCCCAGCCCCUAACCUUCCCCCACACAGUUCCUGUGCACUGGGACACUUGGCGUUGGCCACACAGGCCAUCGCAAUGAAUAAAACAACUCCAUCCUGGAUCAUUGGAUACCUGUGCCAUGCGUUACAGAAGAUCCUGGGCUUUCCAGGCUAUAGGACUCACCCCUUUCCCCUUACUUCCCUCCAGGAAAAGGAGGAGUCCAGGGGCUGCCUUGAUUUCACAAAGCAGAAACCCUUGGAGAGGUGACCUUCCAUGACCACAUUAUUCAAUACACUAUCUUGUGAGGGCCUGUGGUCUCAUCAAUGUUGUAAGAACCAAGGCCAUUGAUGCCAAGAGGGCUACCAUCUUUGCUAAGAACAGAACAAGGAGAUAUCUCCACCCUCAUCCUUAACCCUCCCCCAGCCCCCCUUAAAAAAGAACUGGAAUACAAUGAAAGGGCACAUGUCAGAAAAUCUGAUUUGGAGAAUAUGUGCUUAAAUUUGAUCUUUCAUGAAAGAAAAUGUUCUGUUUUUCCCAUUAUAAAUGUCUUGGUUCCUGCCAAGCCUCUUCUUAUCCCAAAUGUUUUAGAAGAUCCUGGUACAUUUUGACAGACAUAGGACAGCACCAACACUGAGUUAUAAUUUAAUCCAACAUAGACCCAUCGAGCACAAUUAAACUAAGAAUACUUCCUGAUAUCCCUUCCCCUGCCACUAACAAGAUAGCUUUUGAUACUAAGAAAUGUCUAAAAAAUCUUCCAUUAAAUAAGACACUGUUUCCAUUUGGACUUGGCCACAGGCGCCCUGGGCUGGAAGUGGAAAAUGUGGUCCGUCUUUCUCACGAGGGGGCAGAUUCUCAUGGCCCAGUCCUGGCAGCACCCGUUGGGGCAUCUGGCUAGUGUUAGGGACUCAGAAAAGCCUGACCAUGUUACUUCCCAAGGCCAACUGGUCAUGAAGGACUUUGAGGGCAGAGACCAUCAGUGCCUGCCUCGAGGUGGGUGAUCAAUAACGGUUAGCUGUUAAGAUAAGUGCCUCAGGAUCUGACAUCUCAAGAUCUGAGUGAUCAAAAUGCACUUUAUUGGCUGUAAAAUUACCUAUCCCACCAUGUACUGGCUCAGAAAAGUGUGAGAUCUUGAGUAUUCUUGUAGUAGAGGAGGCUGUUUAAGGCAAGCAAAGCUCUGUUCUUUUUCAAACAUGUCUGUUUUAAACAUACUGUUCUUCUUUUUAUAAUGGCUUCUGUUUCUCCUUGCAUUGCCUUAACCAUUUGAACAGAAGGGCUCCCUUUUGAGGCUUAGUCAGAAGGCUCCCUCUAGCACCCCAGCGUUGUACAGACCUCAGACUGUGUCUCCCACCCCUAAAUCCAUGUCUGGAUCUGAAGUGCCUUUGGGAUCCCUCCAUACCAGCUCAUAAACGUGGCACAGUUUUUACCUCUCUCUCUCUGACACCCAAGGGUGGAAUUAUACUUUUUUCCCCAAAUUCAAUUUUCUUAAUAUUUAGACUUUAGUAUUUUUAUACAUGGGUUGUAGCUAGGGCCAUAUUUAUAUCAGCUCAGAUCCACCUUAUCGGAGAAAGUUCCUUCCAUCUCCUUUACAUUGUGGAAAUAUACUCUGUUACAUUCAGAGACCUAUUAAAAGUAAUGUCUAAUCUUUGAGGAAUGAAUUGCAACAAAAUUAGUGUAGCUUAAAGCAUAACAAUGAGUUUCUAUGAUCACUAUAUAAAUGCUGUUUCUUCAUUCUAGAAUUCAAAAGCUGUUAUACCCCUCCCCUACCAUCACCCACUGAGUACCACUACUUAUAGGAAUAAUUAUAUUUCCUAGAAUCAAAAAAGUUUUAUCGCUGGAAGGGAAACUCAGCUGCCUUCAAGUCCAGGCAGGUAACACAGAUGAGUGAUUCUGGUGAAAGACAACAGGGGGUGGUGUGGACUAUAGUAAAAUGGAGACCUCAAGCCCCACCUAGAGGUAGUUGGGUUUCAUUUUAAAAACUGCUGAGAUCCAGGCUACAUGUAAAUCAGUGAAACUAGAACACUCCCUACACACACACACACACACACACAAUGGAACAUUAUUCAGCCAUCAAAAGAAGGAAAUAUUGUCAUUGAUGGACCUAGAGAGUAUCAUACCAAAUGAAGUAAGUCAGAUAAAGGAAGACAGAGUUCCUAUUGUGGCACAAUGAUUAAUGAAUCCAACUAGGAACCAUGAGGUUGUGGGUUCGAUCCCUGGCCUUGAUCAGAGGGUUAAGGAUCUGGUAUUCCCGUGGGCUGUGGUGUAGGUCGCAGAUGUGGCUCGGAUCCUGCGUGGCUCUGGCGUAGGCCGGAGGCUACAGCUCCAAUUGGACCCCUAGCCUGGGAACCUCCAUAUGCUGCGGGUGUGGCCCUAGAAA